rnacentral:rRNA from 1 species
UACGUAGGGGGCUAGCGUUGUCCGGAAUCAUUGGGCGUAAAGAGCGCGUAGGCGGCUAGAUAAGUCCGGUGUGAAAGUCACAGGCUCAACCUGUGAAUGCCGCUGGAAACUGUCUGGCUAGAGUCCGGAAGGGGCGAGUGGAAUUCCUGGUGUAGCGGUGAAAUGCGCAGAUAUCAGGAGGAACACCAAUGGCGAAGGCAGCUCGCUGGGACGGUACUGACGCUGAGGCGCGAAAGCGUGGGGAGCAAAUGGG